UUUCUUUUUUUUUUUUAGAAUGAAAAUUUGUAUUAUGUUUUAAAGAUUUUCUUCCUUUUGUUUUUUUACAAAGUUUUAGGCUUUUUAAUGGCUGCAAGGAAAUUGCAGUAUCAAAUUGUAUGAUGCCUUUUAGGGUCUAAUAAUUAUUCUGUUAUACUAAAGACAAAUGAAAAGGGGUAAUAAAGAAGCAAUGGAACAUGCUUAUGAUUAUGU
rnacentral:misc_RNA from 1 species